rnacentral:rRNA from 1 species
UACGUAGGGUGCAAGCGUUAAUCGGAAUUACUGGGCGUAAAGCGUGCGCAGGCGGUUAUAUAAGACAGUUGUGAAAUCCCCGGGCUCAACCUGGGAACUGCAUCUGUGACUGCAUAGCUAGAGUACGGUAGAGGGGGGAUGGAAUUCCGCGUGUAGCAGUGAAAUGCGUAGAUAUGCGGAGGAACACCGAUGGCGAAGGCAAUCCCCCUGGACCUGUACUGACGCUCAUGCACGAAAAGCGUGGGGGAGCAAACAGG